UACAGAGACUGCAAGCGUUAUUCGGAUUCACUGGGCGUAAAGGGUGCGCAGGCGGUUGGGUGUGUCAGAUGUGAAAUCCCGAGGCUUAACCUCGGAACUGCGUCUGAAACUACUCGACUAGAGUACUGGAGAGGGUAACGGAAUUCACGGUGUAGCAGUGAAAUGCGUAGAUAUCGUGGGGAACACCAGAGGCGAAGGCGGUUACCUGGACAGUUACUGACGCUCAGGCACGAAAGCAUGGGGAGCAAAAGGG
rnacentral:rRNA from 1 species